UGCACGUGGGUGCUGGUGUGGUUGCGGGCGUACCUUUCCACGAAAGUGAAAUGAAGCCGUAAGACCGUACAGUGGUUAUUAAGUUAUUAAUGUAACUAAGUGACGUACAUUAAACUUCACUGCGAAAGCAGAAGCUGCAAGCGUCUCUCGUUGUUUUGCGGGCACCGGUUUAUUGCCACUCCCCAUGCGUCUUCUCUCGCGUCUACGCUAAAAGCGGCGUCCAGCCCAACGACGGCAGUGCCCGCAACCCUGCGCUCCACCGCAUGUCCCGUCCAAUUCCCAUACAACGCCGGCGAAAGUCACGUGAUUAAUGACGUUGCAGGAGUCACCUUGCCAAAGACACGUGAUGGGAGAAUGAGAAGACGCUUCUAGGUUGAAGAUAGACCAAAAGCCAGGAGAGGUCAUGACGCAAAAAGAUGAGCCCAAGUCCUCAAAAGUCCGCAAAGUUCCCCAAGUCCUCAAGUCAAACUCCUCAAAGUCCGCAAGUCCGCAAAAGUCCUCAUCAGGAAGCCCGCAUAGGCGUCGAAACGUUACAAGUAAAUGUUGUAGCCUGUUGUGUCAAGCCGGCGUUUCAUCUUUUUUGCGUCGUACGCUUCUAAGAAUAAUUUCCGUUGUCUUCUGAGCACACAGAAAUAGAAUUACGGCACGGAUCACAAUUCAAAAUCUCUCCCUUUUAAACGCUCGAGUAUCAUCGUACACCAUUUUGUGCCUAAUAAGCAACUUCUUCCUCCGACGAGACAUGAGGAAGCGUGAUUUCCCUGUUAUGCGCCGAAUAACUGAUAACGCCUUUACCCAGCACCACCACAUUAGCCGGCUCAUUAUUUACCUCAAGCGUCGAGCUGCAGAAUUUAUAAACCGCUUUAAAUUUCACGUCGUAUACCACAGUGUGCGCAAGCUCACACGC